rnacentral:rRNA from 1 species
GAUGAACGCUGGCGGCGUGCCUAAUACAUGCAAGUCGAGCGAACAGACGAGGAGCUUGCUCCUCUGACGUUAGCGGCGGACGGGUGAGUAACACGUGGAUAACCUACCUAUCAGACUGGGAUAACUUCGGGAAACCGGAGCUAAUACCGUAUAAUAUAUUGAACCGCAUGGUUCAAUAGUGAAAGACGGUUUUGCUGUCACUUAUAGAUGGAUCCGCGCCGCAUUAGCUAGUUGGUAAGGUAACGGCUUACCAAGGCAACGAUGCGUAGCCGACCUGAGAGAGUGAUCGGCCACACUGGAACUGAGACACGGUCCAGACUCCUACGGGAGGCAGCAGUAGGGAAUCUUCCGCAAUGGGCGAAAGCAUGACGGAGCAACGCCGCGUGAGUGAUGAAGGUCUUCGGAUCGUAAAACUCUGUUAUUAGGGAAGAACAAAUGUGUAAGUAACUAUGCACGUCUUGACGGUACCUAAUCAGAAAGCCACGGCUAACUACGUG